rnacentral:pre_miRNA from 2 species
UAUGGUGACCGACAGUCCCAGUUUGCCUGGAACUGAGGAGUUUCCUGGGACACAGAGCUUUCAGGUCUAAAACUGGAACAGUCCCAAGCAAACCAGGACUGUUGGUCACUCUGAUCCUAG